CCCUUAGAUGUUCUGGGCUGCACGCGUGCUACACUGAUAUUGCCAAUAUGUCAUUCUUAUCCGAAAUGGAUUGGGUAAUCAAGUAAUGAAAUUUCAUGCUUGGAAUCGAUAAUUGCAAUUUUAUCGUGAACGAGGAAUUCCUAGUAAGCACUAGUCAUCAGCUAAUGUUGAUUAUGUCCCUGCCCUUUGUACACACCGCCCGUCGCUACUACUGAUUGGGUGUUCAAGUGAGAUGCUUAGACCCUUGUUGCAUGGUUCAUUAUUGUGCUCCGAAAGGAAAAAGUUUCAAGCUUGAGUGUCUAGAGGAAGUAAAAGUCGUAACA
rnacentral:rRNA from 1 species